rnacentral:piRNA from 1 species
UAGCCUCAGUGGAUUUGUAAGUUAG